AGAUUUUAUGGUUGAUUAAGGGUUAAGGUUAGGGUUAGGUGUAGGGUUAGAUUUUAUGGUUGAUUAAGGUUUAAGGUUAGGGUUAGGUGUAGGGUUAGAUUUUAGGGUUGAUUAAGGGUUAAGGUUAGGGUUAGGUGUAGGGUUAGAUUUUAUGGUUGAUUAAGGUUUAAGGUUAGGGUUAGGUGUAGGGUUAGAUUUUAGGGUUGAUUAAGGGUUAA